CCUACGGGAGACAGCAGUGAGGAAUAUUGGUCAAUGGCCGAGAGGCUGAACCAGCCAAGUCGCGUGAGGGAAGAAUGUCCUAUGGAUUGUAAACCUCUUUUGUCAGGGAGCAAAGUCACCCACGUGUGGGUUUUUGCGAGUACCUGACGAACAAGCAUCGGCUAACUCCGUGCCAGCAGCCGCGGUAAUACGGAGGAUGCGAGCGUUAUCCGGAUUUAUUGGGUUUAAAGGGUGCGUAGGCGGGUUAUCAAGUCAGCGGUAAAAUCGUGGGGCUCAACUCCAUCCAGCCGUUGAAACUGAUGAUCUGGAGUGGGCGAGAAGUAGGCGGAAUGCGUGGUGUAGCGGUGAAAUGCAUAGAUAUCACGCAGAACUCCGAUUGCGAAGGCAGCAUACCGGAGCCCGACUGACGCUGAAGCACGAAAGCGUGGGUAUCGAACAGGAUUAGAUACCCCAGUAGUC
rnacentral:rRNA from 1 species